rfam:Musca domestica strain aabys unplaced genomic scaffold Scaffold729, whole genome shotgun sequence.
UCUUGGUCUGAAUCUAGCCUCUACUAGGCUUUGUCUGUAACUUGGCUUGAAGCUCGCUUCAAAUAUAUUAUCCAGACAUAGCCUAAAAGAGGUUAGGUGAAACAGGAAAC